rnacentral:rRNA from 1 species
AACGUAGGAGACAAACGUUAUCCGGAGUUACUGGGCGUAAAGGGCGUGUAGGUGGUUACGUAAGUCUGGCGUGAAAUUUCUCGGCUUAACCGAGGCAGGUCGUCGGAUACUGCGAGACUAGAGGACGGUAGAGGCGUGUGGAAUUCGGGUGUAGUGGUGAAAUGCGUAGAGAUCCGGAGGAACACCAGUGGCGAAGGCGACACGCUGGGCCGUACCUGACACUGAGGCGCGAUAGCAUGGGGAGCAAACAG